UCUGAGCUACAUGGGAUCCUGUCU
rnacentral:piRNA from 1 species